rnacentral:rRNA from 1 species
GCGUGAGCGAAGACGGCCUUCGGGUUGUAAAGCUCUGCCAGGAGGGACGAAGCCACUCAGGUGAAUAGGCCGAGAGGGUGACGGUACCUCCAGAGGAAGCCCCGGCUAACUACGUGCCAGCAGCCGCGGUAAUACGUAGGGGGCGAGCGUUGUCCGGAAUCAUUGGGCGUAAAGCGCGUGUAGGCGGCCAUCCAAGUCCGAUGUGAAAGCUCGGGGGCUCAACCCCGAGUCUGCAUUGGAAACUGGAUGGCUUGAGUCCGGAAGAGGAGACUGGAAUUCCUGGUGUAGCGGUGAAAUGCGCAGAUAUCAGGAAGAACACCGGUGGCGAAGGCGGGUCUCUGGGACGGUACUGACGCUGAGACGCGAAAGCGUGGGGAGCAAACAGGAUUAGAUACCCUGGUAGUCCACGCCGUAAACGAUGGGCACUAGGUGUGGGAGGUGUCGACUCCUUCCGUGCCGUAGCUAACGCAUUAAGUGCCCCGCCUGGGGAGUACGGCCGCAAGGCUA